UACGGAGGGGGCUAGCGUUGUCCGGAAUUAUUGGGCGUAAAGAGCUCGUAGGCGGCUUGUCACGUCGGGUGUGAAAGCCCGGGGCUUAACCCCGGGUCUGCAUUCGAUACGGGCAGGCUAGAGUGUGGUAGGGGAGGUCGGAAUUCCUGGUGUAGCGGUGAAAUGCGCAGAUAUCAGGAGGAACACCGGUGGCGAAGGCGGAUCUCUGGGCCAUUACUGACGCUGAGGAGCGAAAGCGUGGGGAGCGAACAGG
rnacentral:rRNA from 1 species